UUAAGCGACUAAGCGUACACGGUGGAUGCCCUGGCAGUCAGAGGCGAUGAAGGACGUGCUAAUCUGCGAUAAGCGUCGGUAAGGUGAUAUGAACCGUUAUAACCGGCGAUUUCCGAAUGGGGAAACCCAGUGUGUUUCGACACACUAUCAUUAACUGAAUCCAUAGGUUAAUGAGGCGAACCGGGGGAACUGAAACAUCUAAGUACCCCGAGGAAAAGAAAUCAACCGAGAUUCCCCCAGUAGCGGCGAGCGAACGGGGAGCAGCCCAGAGCCUGAAUCAGUGUGUGUGUUAGUGGAAGCGUCUGGAAAGGCGCGCGAUACAGGGUGACAGCCCCGUACACAAAAAUGCACAUGCUGUGAGCUCGAUGAGUAGGGCGGGACACGUGGUAUCCUGUCUGAAUAUGGGGGGACCAUCCUCCAAGGCUAAAUACUCCUGACUGACCGAUAGUGAACCAGUACCGUGAGGGAAAGGCGAAAAGAACCCCGGCGAGGGGAGUGAAAAAGAACCUGAAACCGUGUACGUACAAGCAGUGGGAGCACGCUUCGGCGUGUGACUGCGUACCUUUUGUAUAAUGGGUCAGCGACUUAUAUUCUGUAGCAAGGUUAACCGAAUAGGGGAGCCGAAGGGAAACCGAGUCUUAACUGGGCGUUAAGUUGCAGGGUAUAGACCCGAAACCCGGUGAUCUAGCCAUGGGCAGGUUGAAGGUUGGGUAACACUAACUGGAGGACCGAACCGACUAAUGUUGAAAAAUUAGCGGAUGACUUGUGGCUGGGGGUGAAAGGCCAAUCAAACCGGGAGAUAGCUGGUUCUCCCCGAAAGCUAUUUAGGUAGCGCCUCGUGAAUUCAUCUCCGGGGGUAGAGCACUGUUUCGGCAAGGGGGUCAUCCCGACUUACCAACCCGAUGCAAACUGCGAAUACCGGAGAAUGUUAUCACGGGAGACACACGGCGGGUGCUAACGUCCGUCGUGAAGAGGGAAACAACCCAGACCGCCAGCUAAGGUCCCAAAGUCAUGGUUAAGUGGGAAACGAUGUGGGAAGGCCCAGACAGCCAGGAUGUUGGCUUAGAAGCAGCCAUCAUUUAAAGAAAGCGUAAUAGCUCACUGGUCGAGUCGGCCUGCGCGGAAGAUGUAACGGGGCUAAACCAUGCACCGAAGCUGCGGCAGCGACGCUGAUGCGUUGUUGGGUAGGGGAGCGUUCUGUAAGCCUGUGAAGGUGUACUGUGAGGUAUGCUGGAGGUAUCAGAAGUGCGAAUGCUGACAUAAGUAACGAUAAAGCGGGUGAAAAGCCCGCUCGCCGGAAGACCAAGGGUUCCUGUCCAACGUUAAUCGGGGCAGGGUGAGUCGACCCCUAAGGCGAGGCCGAAAGGCGUAGUCGAUGGGAAACAGGUUAAUAUUCCUGUACUUGGUGUUACUGCGAAGGGGGGACGGAGAAGGCUAUGUUGGCCGGGCGACGGUUGUCCCGGUUUAAGCGUGUAGGCUGGUUUUCCAGGCAAAUCCGGAAAAUCAAGGCUGAGGCGUGAUGACGAGGCACUACGGUGCUGAAGCAACAAAUGCCCUGCUUCCAGGAAAAGCCUCUAAGCAUCAGGUAACAUCAAAUCGUACCCCAAACCGACACAGGUGGUCAGGUAGAGAAUACCAAGGCGCUUGAGAGAACUCGGGUGAAGGAACUAGGCAAAAUGGUGCCGUAACUUCGGGAGAAGGCACGCUGAUAUGUAGGUGAGGUCCCUCGCGGAUGGAGCUGAAAUCAGUCGAAGAUACCAGCUGGCUGCAACUGUUUAUUAAAAACACAGCACUGUGCAAACACGAAAGUGGACGUAUACGGUGUGACGCCUGCCCGGUGCCGGAAGGUUAAUUGAUGGGGUUAGCGGUAACGCGAAGCUCUUGAUCGAAGCCCCGGUAAACGGCGGCCGUAACUAUAACGGUCCUAAGGUAGCGAAAUUCCUUGUCGGGUAAGUUCCGACCUGCACGAAUGGCGUAAUGAUGGCCAGGCUGUCUCCACCCGAGACUCAGUGAAAUUGAACUCGCUGUGAAGAUGCAGUGUACCCGCGGCAAGACGGAAAGACCCCGUGAACCUUUACUAUAGCUUGACACUGAACAUUGAGCCUUGAUGUGUAGGAUAGGUGGGAGGCUUUGAAGUGUGGACGCCAGUCUGCAUGGAGCCGACCUUGAAAUACCACCCUUUAAUGUUUGAUGUUCUAACGUUGACCCGUAAUCCGGGUUGCGGACAGUGUCUGGUGGGUAGUUUGACUGGGGCGGUCUCCUCCUAAAGAGUAACGGAGGAGCACGAAGGUUGGCUAAUCCUGGUCGGACAUCAGGAGGUUAGUGCAAUGGCAUAAGCCAGCUUGACUGCGAGCGUGACGGCGCGAGCAGGUGCGAAAGCAGGUCAUAGUGAUCCGGUGGUUCUGAAUGGAAGGGCCAUCGCUCAACGGAUAAAAGGUACUCCGGGGAUAACAGGCUGAUACCGCCCAAGAGUUCAUAUCGACGGCGGUGUUUGGCACCUCGAUGUCGGCUCAUCACAUCCUGGGGCUGAAGUAGGUCCCAAGGGUAUGGCUGUUCGCCAUUUAAAGUGGUACGCGAGCUGGGUUUAGAACGUCGUGAGACAGUUCGGUCCCUAUCUGCCGUGGGCGCUGGAGAACUGAGGGGGGCUGCUCCUAGUACGAGAGGACCGGAGUGGACGCAUCACUGGUGUUCGGGUUGUCAUGCCAAUGGCACUGCCCGGUAGCUAAAUGCGGAAGAGAUAAGUGCUGAAAGCAUCUAAGCACGAAACUUGCCCCGAGAUGAGUUCUCCCUGACUCCUUGAGAGUCCUGAAGGAACGUUGAAGACGACGACGUUGAUAGGCCGGGUGUGUAAGCGCAGCGAUGCGUUGAGCUAACCGGUACUAAUGAACCGUGAGGCUUAACCUU
rnacentral:rRNA from 1 species